rfam:Sorghum bicolor cultivar BTx623 chromosome 6, whole genome shotgun sequence.
AUUCCAUGAUGAGGACAGGCUCGAAUGUACUCCUAGAGCCUUUCCCAUGCUUCAAGGAUGGACUCUAGUGAAUACUGUUGGAAGUUCGAGAUCUUCCCCCUUAGAGC